AUAACCCCGUGAAAACGGGACUAAUACUGGAUAAUGUCCCUUUGGCUGUGGCCUUAGGGAUGAAAGGUGACCUCUUCAUGAAAGUUGCCGUUCAAAGAGGGGCCCGCGUACCAUUAGCUUGUUGGUGGGGUAACGGCCUACCAAGGCUACGAUGGUUAGCUGGUCUGAGAGGAUGAUCAGCCACACUGGAACUGGAACACGGUCCAGACUCCUACGGGAGGUAGCAGUGAGGAAUUUUGCGCAAUGGGGGAAACCCUGACGCAGCAACGCCGCGUGAGUGAUGAAGAUUUUCGGAUCGUAAAGCUCUGUCAAGCGGGAAAAAAAUUCUUUCGGUCAAUAGCCGAAAGAACUGAUGGUACCGCUGGAGGAAGCACCGGCUAACUCCGUGCCAGCAGCCGCGGUAAUACGGAGGGUGCGAGCGUUGUUCGGAUUUACUGGGCGUAAAGAGCGUGUAGGUGGUUUAACAAGUCAGAUGUGAAAGCCCUGGGCUCAACUCAGGAAGUGCAUUUGAAACUGUUUUUCUAGAGUAUGGGAGAGGAGAGUGGAAUUCCCAGUGUAGAGGUGAAAUUCGUAGAUAUUGGGAGGAACACCGGUGGCGAAGGCGACUCUCUGGACCAAUACUGACACUGAGACGCGAAAGCGUGGGGAGCAAACAGGAUUAGAUACCCUGGUAGUCCACGCCGUAAACGAUGAGAACUAGGUGUAGCGGGUAUUGACCCCUGCUGUGCCGCAGCUAACGCAUUAAGUUCUCCGCCUGGGGAGUACGGCCGCAAGGCUAAAACUCAAAGGAAUCGACGGGGGCCCCACAAGCGGUGGAGCAUGUGGUUUAAUUCGACGCAACGCGAAGAACCUUACCUGGAUUUGACAUCCUCUUGCAGCCCUGGAAACAGGGUUUAUCCGACUUGUCGGAUGAGAGUGACAGGUGCUGCAUGGCUGUCGUCAGCUCGUGUCGUGAGAUGUUGGGUUAAGUCCCGCAACGAGCGCAACCCUUGUCUCUAGUUGCCAGUAUUAAGUUAGGGACUCUAGAGAGACUGCCUCGGUUAACGGGGAGGAAGGUGGGGAUGACGUCAAGUCCUCAUGGCCUUUAUAUCCAGGGCUACACACGUGCUACAAUGGGCUGUACAAAGGGUAGCUAACUCGCGAGAGUACGCCAAUCCCAAAAAGCAGUUCUCAGUUCGGAUUGGAGUCUGCAACUCGACUCCAUGAAGUUGGAAUCGCUAGUAAUCGUGGAUCAGCAUGCCACGGUGAAUACGUUCCCGGGCCUUGUACACACCGCCCGUCACACCACGAAAGUCGACUGUACCAGAAGUUGCUGGGCUAACCCUUCGGGGAGGCAGGUACCCACGGUACGGCCGGUAAUUGGGGUGAAGUCGGGACAAGGUA
rnacentral:rRNA from 1 species